CUACGGGAUGCUGCAGUAGGGAAUCUUGCUCAAUGGGCGAAAGCCUGAAGCAGCGACGCCGCGUGCGGGAUGAAGGCCCUCGGGUCGUAAACCGCUUUCAGCAGGAACGAAAUUGACGGUACCUGCAGAAGAAGCCCCGGCCAACUACGUGCCAGCAGCCGCGGGUGAUACGUAGGGGGCAAGCGUUGUCCGGAUUUAUUGGGCGUAAAGAGCUCGUAGGCGGUUCGGUAAGUCGGGUGUGAAAUAUCAGGGCUCAACCCUGAGAGGCCACUCGAUACUGCUGUGACUAGAGUCCGGUAGAGGAGUGUGGAAUUCCUGGUGUAGCGGUGAAAUGCGCAGAUAUCAGGAGGAACACCCAUGGCGAAGGCAGCACUCUGGACCGGAACUGACGCUGAGGAGCGAAAGCGUGGGGAGCGAACAGGAUUAGAUACCCCAGUAGUC
rnacentral:rRNA from 1 species